UUGUCAUACACUCAAUUACACAUUACCCUAUUAUUAUAUUGAGGAGCACAUGGUGUAGAACAACCCAUUUCUGAUUUCUUAUAAAGAGACCAAUAUGAUUUUAUUAUCAAACCACACUAAAAUACACAUACACCCAAAAGUCUAAUCUAAGUUCAAGAGUUCAAGUUCGAAGUUCAGUGCUUUCAAAAUCCAUCUUUUUGCUUGAAUCAAGUUCGCAUAAGUUUUGAGGACGACCCGAUUUGUGGAUUCUCUUUUGCUUGCUAAACUAAGGUAAUCAGGGAUAAUAUGGGGAAUCAGUAAUGAGAGAUUAAUGGAUGUUCAAGAGUAUUUAAAGACUCUUUAUUUUGUUAAAUCAUGUACUUUUAAAUGAACUUCAGACUUAGGGUAUUUUGAGACGUGUAUGUCACCUUGAAUCCUAUCUUAUAUUAAGUGGAUGUGUUUUGGUUAUGGUAUUCGUAAUAGUGACGCUCCGACCUGCCCC